UGAACUCACAUACUGUGAGACCAUAACUGAGCUAAAACCAAGAGUUGGGCACUUAACCGAGUAACCCACCUAAGUGCCCCAACUUUCUUCCUCUUCUUAAGUGAGACAGGAAGGCGAGAGGAUACAGGAGUUGACCAGUUGCCCUUCUUUCAGGCUAAAAUAGGAGUCUGAAACAUGAGAGCAUUAUUCUUAGAGCUUUACCAUGGUAAUGUGGGGGGGUUCCUUGAGGUACCCUCAGAGACCGUCAGCAGGAGUUCUCAUUUUCAACUUAGUCCACUGUCAAUCUUCAACAGUUCAUCAAAAUUGCUAGGUUUUAGACUGAGAGCUUUUCCUGUGAAUUCAAGUCUCUAAUGGGCCCAAGAAAAGUCAUUCAUUUUCAUUUUGUUCAGUUUUUUUCUUGUUCUCAUGAUGAAUAGAUACUUCUUAAGCUCUUUAUAUGUCAGAGCUGAAACAAGCUAGUUAUUUCUUUUGAAUAUAAUAAAAAAACAUGACACCCUGAUAUCAUUGUCAAACAGACAAUAGUGAAAGUAAUGCCAUGGAAUAUAACAAAAAGUUUUUGCACCAUCUGAAAGUUAUAUGAAAAGAGAAAAAAUAAGUCAGGCUGGAUUUCUUUAGUAAAUAAUCUACACUGGUCCCUGAAAUGUUAAUGAUGAAGAAGGCACUUCUUCGGGCUUCAUGUAAGAUCCUGGCGAGUAUGGAAGGCUGGCAUGUAAGCAGGCAGUUACCACGCAGCUCCACAACAGAGUGGUACAGGAGCACACAGAAUGACCAUUUGUUUUUGUUUGACUAUUUUACAUAAAUACGCGUUAUAUGCAAUGAUACCAUUUCAUGUGUCAGGGAGUUGAAUCCAGCCGUGUAAAAAAGGGAGGGAGAGAGGAAGGAAGAAAGCAG